rnacentral:lncRNA from 1 species
UUGAGGAACAUUGUACUUAUCUUUAUUUUGGGCAUUAAUGUAUGAAAAUGUUCCUAUUGUGAUCAAUGAAGUCUGAAGUUUGUUCUUAAUUGCAUCUUUUCCCAUAUAUAUGUUUUUGAUGAUAACAAAAAGGGGGAGAAGAGAAGGAAAGAGUAUAUAAAGGAGAAGAGAAGAAAAGAGUAUAUAAAGGGGGAGAAGAAAAGAUAGAAAGGGGGAGAAGAAAAGAUAGAAUAUUCACUUUAAGAAAAGAAAGAGUGAGUAAAGAAAAGAAAGAGUAUUUCAUUUGAGAAGUUAAGAAAGAGUAUUAAUUUUGGGAGAAGUAAAGAUAGUGUUUAGAAUAUGUAAAGAUAGUGUUUAAAGAAAGAGUAUUAACUUUGUGAGAAAGAGUGAGUAAAGAAGUUAUGAAACGAAAAGAGAAAUAAAUGGGCAAACAAAUUGAAAAUCAUAUAAGAAAGCUUAUAUAUCUAAGGGGGAGCAAUUUGUAACAAUGAAAAUCAUCAGAUCAAAAAAUUUCUAUCAUAAUUCAGAACUUGGCACGCUCCUCUCGCACCCCGAUACAUAACCUGAAACUCAUAUGAUAUCUCAAAUUUUUGAAGUUUCNN